UUUUUACUUCUAAAAAAUUAUCCUUUAAGUGAAGAGACUUAAAUAAAAUAAAAAGACAAAAAGACCCUAUUGAGCUUUAUUUCAUAAAUUAAACCUCUAUAGCCCACGCAAAAGAACCUUAUUUACAGAAAUUUUGUUGGGGCGACAAGAGAAGACCUAAAUCUUCUCUACACUAUAAGAAUAUACCUCCACUAAUGAUCCGUAACAAACGAUUAACAGAACCAGCUACCAUAGGGAUAACAGGCUAAUCUUCUUUGAGAGCCCAAAUUGACAAGAAGGAUUGGCACCUCGAUGUUGGCUUAGGAUACCUGAUAGAUGCAGAA
rnacentral:rRNA from 1 species